rnacentral:rRNA from 1 species
AUUGAACGCUGGCGGCAGGCCUAACACAUGCAAGUCGAACGGUAACAGGAAACAGCUUGCUGUUUCGCUGACGAGUGGCGGACGGGUGAGUAGUGUCUGGGAAACUGCCUGAUGGAGGGGGAUAACUACUGGAAACGGUAGCUAAUACCGCAUAACGUCGCAAGACCAAAGAGGGGGACCUUCGGGCCUCUUGCCAUCGGAUGUGCCCAGAUGGGAUUAGCUAGUAGGUGGGGUAACGGCUCACCUAGGCGACGAUCCCUAGCUGGUCUGAGAGGAUGACCAGCCACACUGGAACUGAGACACGGUCCAGACUCCUACGGGAGGCAGCAGUGGGGAAUAUUGCACAAUGGGCGCAAGCCUGAUGCAGCCAUGCCGCGUGUAUGAAGAAGGCCUUCGGGUUGUAAAGUACUUUCAGCGGGGAGGAAGGGAGUAAAGUUAAUACCUUUGCUCAUUGACGUUACCCGCAGAAGAAGCACCGGCUAACUCCGUG